rnacentral:rRNA from 1 species
UGGGGAAUAUUGCACAAUGGAGGGAACUCUGAUGCAGCGACGCCGCGUGAGUGAUGAAGGAAUGCGUUUCGGAAAAGUCUGUUCUAUGGGAAGAAAAGGACUGUACCAGAGGAGAAAGCUCCGGCGAAAUACGUGCCAGCAGCCGCGGUAAUACGUAUGGAGCGAGCGUUGUCCGGAAUUAUUGGGCGUAAAGGGUGCGCAGGCGGCUUUACAAGUUGGAUGUGAAAUAUUGUGGCUCAACCACAAACGUGCAUCCAAAACUGCAAAGCUUGAGUUAAGGAGAGGUAAGUGGAAUUCCUGGUGUAGCGGUGGAAUGCGUAGAUAUCAGGAGGAAUACCGGUGGCGAAGGCGACUUACUGGACUUAAACUGACGCUCAGGCACGAAAGCGUGGGGAGCAAACAGG